AAAAAUUCGGGAGAGACUAUAUUUCACCACAGUUUUUUGUUUGGAUUUGAGAUAAUAGCGCCGAAGGGGCAGUCGCGAUAAACUCUCAGGCAAAAGGACCGGAUU
rnacentral:ncRNA from 1 species